CACCCGGACUCCGCCAUGUUGAGUCUUGUGGGUCGUGUGGCCGCCGCGUCGGCCUCCGGGGCCUUGCGGGGACUCAGCCCUUCGGCGUCGCUCCCCCAAGCUCAGCUUUUACUGCGGGCCGCCCCGGCAGCGGUCCAGCCUGCCAGAGACUAUGCGGCGCAAACAUCUCCGUCGCCCAAGUCAGGCGCCGCCACCGGACGCAUCGUGGCGGUCAUCGGUGCAGUGGUGGACGUCCAGUUUGAUGAAGGAUUGCCACCCAUUCUAAACGCCUUGGAAGUGCAAGGCAGGGAGACCCGGCUGGUUUUGGAAGUGGCUCAGCAUCUGGGUGAGAGUACAGUAAGAACGAUUGCCAUGGAUGGUACAGAAGGCCUAGUCAGAGGCCAGAAAGUCCUGGAUUCUGGUGCACCAAUCAAAAUUCCUGUUGGUCCUGAGACCUUGGGCAGAAUCAUGAAUGUCAUUGGAGAACCUAUUGAUGAGAGAGGGCCUAUCAAAACCAAACAAUUUGCUCCUAUUCAUGCUGAGGCUCCUGAGUUCAUAGAGAUGAGUGUUGAGCAGGAAAUUCUGGUGACUGGGAUCAAGGUUGUGGAUCUGCUAGCUCCCUAUGCCAAAGGUGGCAAAAUUGGGCUGUUUGGUGGUGCUGGAGUUGGCAAGACCGUGUUGAUCAUGGAGUUAAUCAACAAUGUUGCCAAAGCCCAUGGUGGUUACUCCGUGUUUGCUGGUGUCGGUGAGAGGACCCGAGAAGGCAAUGAUUUAUAUCAUGAAAUGAUUGAAUCUGGUGUAAUCAAUUUAAAAGAUGCUACCUCAAAGGUAGCAUUGGUAUAUGGUCAAAUGAAUGAACCACCUGGUGCUUGUGCCCGGGUAGCCCUGAUGGGGCUGACUGUGGCCGAAUAUUUUAGAGACUAAGAAGGUCAAGAUGUACUGCUGCUUAUCGAUAACAUCUUUCGCUUCACCCAGGCUGGCUCAGAGGUGUCUGCCUUACCGGGCAGAAUUCCUUCUGCUGUAGGCUAUCAGCCAACCCUAGCAACUGACAUGGGUACUAUGCAAGAAAGAAUCACCACCACCAAGAAAGGAUCUAUCACCUCUGUACAAGCUAUCUACGUCCCUGCUGAUGACUUGACUGACCCUGCCCCAGCUACUGCUUUUGCCCAUUUGGAUGCUACUACCGUGCUGUCUCGUGCUAUUGCUGAGCUGGGUAUCUAUCCAGCUGUGGAUCCUCUGGACUCCACCUCUCGCAUCAUGGAUCCUAACAUUGUUGGCAGCGAGCAUUAUGAUGUUGCCCGUGGGGUGCAAAACAUCCUUCAGGACUACAAAUCCCUCCAGGACAUCAUUGCCAUCCUGGGUAUGGAUGAACUUUCUGAGGAGGACAAGUUGACUGUGUCCCGAGCACGGAAAAUGCAGCAUUUCUUGUCUCAGUCAUUCCAGCUUGCUGAGGUCUUCACAGGGCAUAUGGGGAAGCUGGUACCCCUGAAGGAGACCAUCAAAGGAUUCCAGCAGAUUUUGGCAGGCGACUAUGACCAUCUCCCAGAACAGGCCUUUUACAUGGUGGGACCCAUUGAAGAAGCUGUGGCAAAAGCUGAUAAACUUGCCGAGGAGCAUGCGUCUUGAGAGCCUCCCGCCAGAAUAAGCUCUCUUCUGUCCUGCCCUUCACUUUGCUGAUAACCCUGAAACCAGUUUCUGUGUCGGCCGUACAAGAGCCUCAGUUGAAGACAUACUGUGUCUGAAGAGUAUUUAAGGUUUCCAAUAAAAUGUAAACCCAG